GUCUUAUUGAAAUUAAUUUUAAGUCCAAUCUGCCCAAUGAUUAAAUUAAAUGGCUGCAGUAUCAAUAACUGUACAAAGGUAGCAUAAUAAUUUGUUUUUUAAUUAAAAACUAGAAUGAAAGAUUAAAUGAAAUAUAAACUAUCUCAAUUUAAAUAAAAAUUAAAUUUAUUAUUUAAGUAAAAAAACUUAAAUAAAAUUAAAAGACGACAAGACCCUAUAGAAUUUUAUUAAUUUAUAUAAAUUUAAUAAUUAAAUUAAUAUUAAAAUUUAUAUAAAUUAAUUUUAUUGGGGUAAUUUAAAAAUUAAAAAAAUUUUUUUAAAAUAUAACAAAUAUAAUUGAAAUAUUAAUCUUAUAAUAUAAAUUAUUAAAAUUAAUUACCUUAGGGAUAACAGCAUAAUUUUUUUUAAAAGUCCUUAUUUACAAAAAAGUUUAU
rnacentral:rRNA from 1 species